UAAAUUAUCUCCGUAACAUUCCCCCUCAAAUUGAUGCUGGUAGAUCAAGAAGCAUCACUUUGUCAACCAAGAACUGAUUUCGGUGCCGAGAAAGAGUUUUAGUGAAUAUGUCGGCAAUAUGAUGUUCAGUAGAAAUGUGAGGAAGAGUAAUCACAUGUUUGUCAAAGGAUUCACGUAUGGAACGACAAUCGACUUCGAUAUGUUUCGUAGGCUCAUGGAAGACAGGAUUAGUGGCGAUCUAAAUAGCACUGAUAUUAUCAGCAUGAAGAGGAGUGGAAUGAAGCCGAGGAAAACCAAGUUCACCCAAUAACCCACGAAGCCAUGUGAUCUCAGAGCAUGCGGAUGACAUAGCACGAUACUCAGACUCAGUGGAGGACUUGGAAACUUUUGGGGGGUGAGAUGGGAA